rnacentral:piRNA from 1 species
CCAGACGAUCCAGGCGUGUGCUAGAUGG